AGGAGGAGCAACUCUCCAUAGCGGCACCAGAUCUCCUCCACGCUGGAUCUUGAUAGCAGCAUCAACGCGUCGCGUACUUCGAGCAGCUCUCCACGCCGGCGAGGCAGCAACACCUCUCCUCUAGGCUAGACACUCAGCAGCACUCCUUCAGGCAAGUAGUAGAACUUUCUCCUCUCCUCUUUAUGUGUGUUGGCUACUAAUAUGGGGUGGAUUGUAUAUGUUGGAUAAUAUGUGGUGGAUUGUGUAUCAAAUUUGGUGGACGCUUUGUUUUUGUAAAGCCCUAAAAUUUGUAAAAUAUAAAAAUGAUAAAAUAAAUAAAUACACUUAUAAAAGUGUGUUGGGGAUCAUGUAACCUUUAGAGGUUAUCUAGAUUUCUUCUCUUUGUGCAUACUCAAUUAAUGGCAUUAAACUAUUCAACUAACAAAUAAGUGGAUAAAGAGAUAUGCAUCUGCUGAAGUUUUUGUAUUUUAACAAUAGUGUUUAAAUUUGUGAGACAAAUUUGACUUCGAAAAAUUAGAAUUUGAAAAUAUAAGGAGAAAGAAAAUCCUAUGUAAAUAACAAUAAAAUAUAUAAAUAAAUAUUAUUUGCGCUAGGAUUUGAAUUUGCACAAUUGGCCAAAGUAUGAAACCAACCAUCAAAAUUGAAUUCAAGUUGAAAUCAAAAUUUAGAAAAAGAAAAAAUGGAAAUAAAACAGAAUAUAUAUAAAAAGGGAUAACUUGCUCUCGGACUGGACUUCCCCAUUCUAGCCCAGCUCCGGCAUCCCGCGCUCGGCCCAGAUAUGUUUUCCACCUCGUGUGGCCCACUCAGAGCUCUUUUUCUUUUGUUCUGUCACGCUGACGUGUGGGGCCAGGCAAUCAGUGAUUGAGGCCGUGCACACACGUGAAAUGUUCUCCUCGCUGACGUGUGGGUCCAUGGCAUCAUGGCGUCUUCAACCUCCCAGCACCGAAGCUACCGUGUGGAUCUCACGGGUGUGGCGCGAACUCCCCCUCUUCUUCGGGACGCUCGUGGAGGAUAUCGUUGAUGAGACCUCCUUCCGCAUGCUGGCGCCUAGUCUCGCUCGGAUGCUUUCCCCACCGGAUAAAGUUAUCCCCUCUCCGCAUUUCGCACUCGGCUAACAAACUCCGACCGCCGCGCAACAGCCUGUGGAUCCUGGGACUGCCCGCCUGCUUCCCCUCGGGCCCCUCGGGUAUAAGUACCGCAGCCUCGCGCCCUUGCUCUGCUCUGCUCUCCCUUCGACUCUCAUCCAUCUCGCCCAAACACCUCAAAACUGUGUGUGAGGGGGAGGAAUUCUUGCGGCAGCAACUGGCGGAUCGCACGCGAUUCUCUGCCAUCAUCGAGAAUCGAAGCGCCAGACCGAGCUGGGUGUUCGACGUCUCUCGCUACGGGUGUUGAUGGACUCCUCGGACAAGGCUAUCAACCAGGGUCGUGGGAAUUCGUCGCCGUUGUCCGAUUUGCCGCCGUGGCCGCGUCUCACCGUGCGCAGGGAAUCCCACUUCUCCGAUCUCCAUGAGAUUUACUUCUCUAGAUUCGCUAUAUCCUCCUAUUCGAGUUGCGCUAGUCGGGCAGUGAGUGAAGGCCUCGGGUCGCGGGAUCGCUGUCGCCGACCAUGGCGUCCGCUGUGGGGUUUGGCGGUGAGGCCGUCUGGUCGGCCAGGCGUUAGGGGCAAGGCCGUUCGGCCGUCUGAUCUUAAUGGACGGACAUGAUGGGUUGCGGCGUGCGGAUUCAGGCAGGUGAUUUGGCGCCGUUGUGAUCCGAUCGGAUGGAUAUGAUGGAUUCCGAGUUAUUUUAAAUCACGACCGUAGAUGUCGGAUCUAAUGGCUGUGGAUCGCAUAUCGAUUCACGCAAAACUAAUUCUAAUCAGGACCGUCCAUAUCCAAUCGCACGACCUGGAUUACAUGAUACUGCUUCGGCUCCGUAGCUUUACAAAAGAACCCCUGGCAAAUGUAAUAAUCAACCUGUCGUCCACCAUAAGAUAAGUCUGAGUCUGGUAGAUUUUUGCAAGUUAACCCCCAGACUCUCUGUAUAUUAUGCGCCCAGUCCAGGAAACAAGUAAAUCAGGGGAAAAUGAAAUAGAAAUUUAUUUUUGAUGUAAAAAUAAUUAUUAGAACUUGUUUAGUUCCUAGAAAAUUCAUACUUAGUCCAAAUUAAUCUAUUCCAGUUCCUAUAAUUUUGUAAUAAUGUUGUUUAUCAUAUAGUGUCUCUGUUUUGACAUGAAAACCAUAUUAAAGUUGAUUUCAUAAUUAAUCCUGUAUCAAAUAUAUAAAACUUUUGGAAAUUCAUAACUCUGUUUUAAUUCCGAUUUGACUCAUUCCAGUUGCGUUAGUCUCGUAUAAAUAUUUACUACGCAGUAACAACAUUGAUUAUACCCUGUCUCAUACUUUUAUAAUUAGAUAUUUAUUUAUCCUAUGUGAAUUGGAUUAAUCUAGGUCUAUUGGAUUAACUUAUGAUCUUAUGGUUAUAAUUUAACUAGAUGAUCUUUAGUCAAAUAAUGACUUAGAUUAAAGUUAGGAUAAUUAUUCAUAGAAUAUUCUCUCAUAUGGUGUAUUCUAACCAAUUUAUAAUAUAGUUUAAUAUUUUAAUCACAUAGAUCUUCCAUAGAUCAUAACUCCCUAACCAUGACUCCGAUUUUAGUAUUUCUCGAUCCCACGAUCUCGUAGCAACGCGUAGAUUAUUAUUAUGCAGUAUGUGCUUAUGUUUGGUGUGAUGUUAAUUUUGUCUAUACCAUGUCUGUUUGUAUUGCUACGACUAGCAGUGAGGUCGCGAGUCACCUGAACAUCAUCCUGGUGCCUAGAAUCUCAAGUCUUAGGCAAGUUGUGCCCUUGAACACUUCUAUUACCUAAUAAUGUUCUUUAUUAUCACUUAUCAAUGCAUAUGUUUAAUUUUGAUAGGACCCAAUAGGUCACCCUAGUCUGUUUAUCCUUUUACCUUGUUACCCCUGAAUCAUUUGGGUAGUUUGCUAUUGCUUUAUUGUUUUUGGGAUAAUAUUUCAUUAUAUCCAUGUUCCAAUUAUUUUAUUAUUUUAUUUAUGUUCAUGUCAAGAUCAUCAUUAUCUUUGAUUGGAACAUGGAGCUUAACUUGAGAAACACGUGCAACCACAAGGGUGGAAUUUGACGCCCUUGGCUGACUAAUUAGGAAAGCUAGUGGAAGACUACCUUACCCAAAAGGGGAAAGGGUAGUAGGGGAGUUGCAUGCAGGGAGGAUCUCGGGUUGAUUUUGCUGCGAUGGCGGUCAGACGAGGAAUUCUUGCAAGUGCUCUUCCCAUAAACUGUAGCGGGUUUUUGGAAGCUAGUGGAACUUUGUAAAGACCUCGUAGUGGAUCCCUAGCCAUUCACCUCGGCAGUGUCUAAGGGUCUAGCUAACCCUGGCGACAUGGGAUACACGACUUGUGGUAAAAGGUACAACCUCUGCAGAGUGUAAAACUGGUAUACUAGCCAAGCUCACGGUCAAGAGCAGCUCAGGACUCUCGCAUGAUUAAACUAUGAAACUAAAUUCAAUUUGUCAUUUUCAUUGCAUGGGACUUAUUAUUAAUUUUGUUCUAUUAUUAUUCUGGUAUGGUAUUUACUUAUACCUAGUAAUCGCUAAUAAAAUUUUGACCAACUUUAAAAGCAAUGCUCAGCGUCAACCAUCCUCUUUGGUAAGCCUUACACUUCAUGAGCUCCCACCUUUGGCGAGUUCAUGCACAUUAUUCCCCAUAACUUGUUGAGCUAUGAACGUAUGUGAGCUCACUCUUGCUGUCUCACACCCCCCACAGGUCAAGGACAGGUACCACAGGAUGAGGCGCAUGGAGGAUGUUGCGAUGUGUUCGUGAGAGAUCUAGGUUAUCGUCUCCCAGUCAACUUUGGGUUGUUGGAUCGUUGUCUCCUUAUCAUAUAAUUAUUUAUUUAUUUUGUACAUAACUCCUAUUGUAUAAUAAAGUUAUGACAUUCGUUUCUGUACCACUAUUCAUCAUAUGUGUGAGACUUAGUCUCAGCACACCUGAUGUUUAUGUUCGCGUCCGGGUCUCUAAAACCCGGGUGUGAUAGUUUUGCAUCAUAUGUUGAAUUGGUUGAGUUCUUAUCGCCUCAUUGUUUUAUGAAAUAG
rnacentral:lncRNA from 1 species